UGGAUUCUAAGGAUCGCGUCGAUCGAAUAGCGCUGUUCCAGAAGUCAUUGGCGUUGGGUAGCUGGAAGUGCUUCAAGAAGUUUUGAUAAUAGGACAGACUUGUAACUUGAUACAUUUGUAAAAUUAUCUCUUGGCACGACUAAUGGCGGAUGACCAGUGAAAGUGCUGAUUGUGAAGGAUAUACAAGACUGAUCAACAGUGCUUCUGGAUUUUUUAACGUCCGCCCACUAAUUCUAUGAUAUCGUGACGCGCUUUGGAUUAUACGGAAAGUGAUAUUUUUCGCGAAAUGGUGAGUAGAAUUCAACCUAUUGUCUUGUCACGCCACAGCUGUAUCAAUAGCACUGUGCCCGCAAUUAAUCUUCGACGCGAUAACCUAAAAAUCAUUUUGGCCUGAUACACAGAAAAUUAAUUAUUUCCUAUAAUUUCUUUUAAUUUUAAAAUAUUUCACACGGUUCGAAAUCUCUGCGUACGAAAUUUUACCGUUAAAAUUUCCUUUGGCGUUGCCCUAUUGGGGAAAGACGAAAAUACUAACAGAAAGGUAGGGUGAAGCAAAGAAGAAAAAUAACAAAGAACCGAUCGUUGACGGGAAUUUUUCCGGUUAUAAAUUUUCCGUUCUUUCUUGUUUUUUCCCUAUUGUCCUUGUUUUCUGAGAACUCGCAUAAAUUUUAUACAAUACACACACAUUCUCAUUGUCAUGGAAAUCGGAAAAGGGUUUUUUACGUUAUAGAUUAUUAUUCCGUAAAUGAUAACUAUAUCGUAGUCUCAUUGUUGGAAAGAAAGAAAGGACUAACUUUGCUGGUAUUAAUUUUUUUUUAUACAACCCCACGUAACUCCCAACGAAACGUUCAGAUAAAAUUUCCCUCUUUUUUUUAAAUACGUGACUAGUUAAUAAUCUGAAUCCGUAUUCGUAUACUGUACACGGGACUGAAAGAUAAUACCUUCAUUGUAAAUGUAGAUUUAUCAUUUCGCGAGAUUCGUCAAUUUACCACCUAACACGUUUUACUCUGUUCUAACGAAAGUAAAAAAUACUGUGUACCCAAGAAAUUAGGUAUUUUCCUUUAGGGAAUCUGUCGUUGAGAUUAAUUAUUAAGAACACGUCAUGAUUAAACACAUUGUGAUAAAGUUGACCCUUGUGGUGUAUAGCGAGUUUCACUAAUAGGGGUUGACAAGGGUCACAGGAACCCCAGCAACCAAUUUGUCGUUUUCACCCAGAAAUUUAAGGGUUCUGAAUUCAAGUGUAUAGUAGGAAAAAAGAGGAUAUCCCAACAGACUCCAGAUCUUUUGCGUCAACACGGGAACAUCCGAUUCCGUGACAGAUUUCCAAUGGCUCAUCAAACGAUAACGUGAAUGUCAUGGCAGUGUUGUUAAUAUACUAAAGAAAAAGAAAAAAGAAUUUUACCCAUUGGAAUUGUAUAAUAUGCCUGAUAACGACAGGCCUUCAAUUUCCUACUGACAAUACGUUAUUACAUUCAGUCAUAUACGUACAAUGAAAAAUCUCUUUUAUGUAUAUAUAAAAUCGCAGUUAUAAUCCAGACCUUGUACAAGCCUUUAACCUGGCAAGAAUAACUUGGAAAAUAUUUAACGUCAAUGGAUCGAGCCGAUUAUCAAUAAACAAUUAGUUCGCUGGUAUUGAAGUGGGUUAAUGGAGAAGGUUCGAAGGACGAGAAAGGGCUGCAAGGAACGGGAAGUUGUGAAGAAGGGUAUAAAGGGCCCGGAAGUAGUGGUGAGGGAACUUCUUGAAUGAUGAUUUUGCCAAGUGACACAGUAUGAUUUGGAGUAGCAACGCACCUUAUCUGGAAUCUGAGAUAAUCUUGAACGAAGAUGAGGGGUACCUUGUAAAAAGCACGUGCUCUAUCACAGGGAAUAUUCUGGGUUUGUAUUUUCGAAGCUUUCGGUUAGGCAUCAAUAGUCCUAACCAAUACCAAUGCUAGUACCAAUAUACCAAUAAUGUAGAAGAAGAUGGCUGUUUCCUGUCGAGAUUCGAAUAGCAGUUCAAGUGGAGCUAAGAUCUGCUGGUAGCCUCUCAUAUUGCGUGGAAUUGCAGCUUUGUUUGACCUGCGUUCCAGAUGGAACGAGAAUGACAGAAUCAUUCUUAUAGUAAAUGGCAAAUAGGACGCAAUAUCACCGCUCUCGAUGAUAUCGAUAACCGCAAGGAACAUCUUUGAGGAGCAACCACUUUAUUCGUGCUUGGACUCAGCAAACUUCGAAAAUGAACGUCAUACUCAUUAUCUGGGGUCCUCUUCGUCUGAUACUGAUUCCACGACGCCAGCUUGCAGUGUCUUUAUUAUUAUUGAGAAGUUGAUAAGAUUCCAUGGACGCUUCUUCAUUCUGUUUUAAUUGAUAACAUUGGACGAGUUUAAAUGACGUUUAAUUGAAACGAGUACAUUUGACUAUGCAGUAAUUGAACUUGUACGUCUAUCUUCAAAGAAACUCAUGUGAUGAAAUCAGCAAGCUAUUUGCAAUUGGGAAACCAGACAAAGCGACAAAAGAGAAGCGAAGAAAAAUGUAAAUUUAACACUUCUUCAAGGCAACACAUUAUUUACUCAUUUAAGUUGGAGAAAGGAAGUGUUCCUCUUUACUAGACGCACAGGAAAUACACGUUAAAGAGCAACUGACGAAUGGUAUAAAGUCUUCAGGGUGAACUUCUUCCACAUUAUGGGAUCGACUGCCUAGUAUCAGAGGCGAUAAAUCGCGUCGCGAAGUAAAUUGAUCCGUUAAAGAAAACUGUCCUAAUGUAAUUUAACGUGGAUUCGAAAGGGAUGAAGAUUCUUGUCUUGGGAGGAAAGAGAAAAGUUUCCCAUAUGAGGGUGACGUUACGAACGGGAUGGAGUUCGACAGCAGACGUAGAAGAGGGAUACAUUGUUGGAAGAGUAUUUCCCUUAACAACCCCCUUCGCUGAAUUUUAUUUCAAUUCUUGCUACGUUUUUUUUUUUCCAGUCUAGACGGGAAGUCGGUCAUUACAAUAGCGGCUUGCUACUUGCUAUACUGCAAUUUCUGCAAUGCUCGAUGCUGUAUAUAUAGUGCAUAUUAUUGCUGUACAACGUAUCACACAUGUCUACUAUAUUAUGUAUACAAUAAUCAUACAAUACUUUACAAUAAUGCCAUCCAAUCCAGAUACCGGUUCGCAAGCUGAUUCUGUAUUGAAUUGGAGUAACCAAAUGAAAAUGUUAAUAUUUUUAUAUUAUAUUUCAAGAAAUUGUAAACAUCGACGGGGACCAUUUAUAACAGCAUUAUCAUAUGACCAAAAUGGAGAUAGGCAUAUUAGUUUCACUGUACUUGACAGUGUUUAAUAAGUUAUUCAGUCGACAGUAUGCAUCACACGUGUGACACGUGUAUCACACGCAAGUAUUACUGAGACUUAUCUCUCAAUGCGAGGUAUUGUAAAUCCACGCUACUCCACAUGCAAUUUGAUGUCGUUCCAUGCAAUGGUAAGGAGUUGACGAGGAGCGAGGGUUGCGUGACUGGAAAAGAUCAGUUCAUUGGUACGAUUGGUUCCGUGUAUACGUGACGUAUCUAUAAUACAUGCACGCCAUCUCUGCUUCCUCGUGUAUCAUUUACAACCCCAGUACUGCCAUGAUCUGAUAAUUCUAUCUUGUACUGUAACAAGAUACUUAUUGUAAUCAAAUGGAAAUGUUGCCCUUAGCAUACAGGAUGUCUGUCAGCUACUGUAAGGAAUUAUGAUUUAUGGCAUUGUUCGUUUCCAUAUCAUAGGACGACAUCUUGACCCUUUGGACUGAGACUCAAAGUUCCUUAAAAUCUCAAACGAAGUGGUUCAGAGUGGUUCGGAGUGUCUCAUUCAUUACUGUUGAAGAUGGUGCAAUACAAGGAAGUAACCUCAGGAAAGUAGUGAAUGGUUAGAAGUUUUUGAAGAAAGCAAAACUCGAGUGCAUCUCUACACCAUUGUAUAUUCCUUUUCAUCUUAGCGUCAGUGUACAAUGGUGAAAAAUAUAGUAUCCGGUUACCUCCAGCACGUCUGAGAGACACGUAAGACAUUAAUGUAUAUUUAUGUUUGAAAAGUCUCAUACUGACAGUAUGACUUCUCAUACUGAACAAUUUAAGCUUAUCUCUAUCACAAAUGGCAACCGAAUAAGGUACAUAUAUCAGUAACGUUUUAUGAUACUCGGUGGUUCUUUUAGACGCACAGGUAUUGUACACCCGACAGUGUCAUAAUCUCUUGACAGGCUUUUCUUGAGUCUCCUAACUUUCAGCGAGCGUCCCGACGGCUGAAAAUAAAACAAAACGAAAUUAGUUUCUAUGGAGACAGGAUGUCGGGCUUGGGCGUGCGAUAGCGCUGUGACGUAAUAUCGUGUCUCAACUUCGUUGUCUGUUAUUGCCAUCGUGUUGCUGGUUAAAUAGACGGCAGUACUAGUCUUCGUCUGCAGACGUACAAGCCGCUGUUCUUGCGGACGGUGGAUCAGGAGAAAUAGAGAAGUAACAUAGAAAUAAACCUGUAUGGAUAAACGAGAGUGGAAUUGUUCCCAAAGGUGCCAAUAUGUAAGAAAGUUUAUGAGAAUGGAAAGCACCGCGAGGAACGCCAGGAGAGAGAAAAGUUUUCGCGUGCCGUAUAAAAGGUACAAAAGGCACAGAUGGGCACUGAGAAGCGUAAAAAUUUCUUGGGUACUUCGCGCCAAGUUUCAAAGAGUACAAGAAGUACACGUAAAACUUCCUAGUUAUGAUGGCAGCACAAUAAAGGAACUAGAAAAGAAUACAGAUCAAAACGAAGACAAAGGCGAGCACGCAAGAUCCCGAGAAGAAGAAAUACACUGAGUGCGUGCCAAGUGCAUCGCCAAUGACUUGAUAGAGUUUUGACACAGCAAAUCCAAGAAUACCGUCG